rnacentral:rRNA from 1 species
AAUAUUGCACAAUGGGGGAAACCCUGAUGCAGCGACGCCGCGUGAGCGAAGAAGGCCUUCGGGUCGUAAAGCUCUGUCCUAAGGGAAGAAGAGAACGGUACCUUAGGCAGAAGCCACUGCUAACCACGGGCCAGCCGCCGCGGUAAUACGUAGGGUGCGAGCGUUAUCCGGAAUUACUGGGCGUAAAGGGUGCGUAGGCGGCCUUUUAAGUCAGAUGUGAAAGGCGACGGCUUAACCGUAGUUAGCAUUUGAAACUAGAAGGCUUGAGUGCAGGAGAGGAGAGUGGAAUUCCUAGUGUAGCGGUGAAAUGCGUAGAUAUUAGGAGGAACACCGAUGGCGAAGGCAGCCCCCUGGGAUAAUACUGACGCUCAGACACGAAAGCGUGGGGAGCAAACAGG